rnacentral:rRNA from 1 species
GACGAACGCUGGCGGCGUGCUUAACACAUGCAAGUCGAACGGUGAAGCUCCAGCUUGCUGGAGUGGAUCAGUGGCGAACGGGUGAGUAACACGUGAGCAACCUGCCCCUGACUCUGGAAUAAGCGCUGGAAACGGCGUCUAAUACUGGAUACGAGAAGGGUCCGCAUGGGCACUUUCUGGAAAGUUUUUCGGUUGGGGAUGGGCUCGCGGCCUAUCAGCUUGUUGGUGAGGUAAUGGCUCACCAAGGCGACGACGGGUAGCCGGCCUGAGAGGGCGACCGGCACAGCGGGAACGGGGAACGGGCCAGGACCCCUAGGGGGGGAGAAGGUGGGAAAAUUUGCAAAUGGGGGGAAGCCCUAUGGAGGGAAGCCGCGUGGGGGAAGGCGGGCCUUGGGGUUGAAAACGCUUUUGCGCGGGAAAAAGGGGAAGGGGAGGGUACCUGCAAAGAAGGACCGGCCAAACUAGGU